rnacentral:rRNA from 1 species
UACGUAGGGUGCGAGCGUUAAUCGGAAUUACUGGGCGUAAAGCGUGCGUAGGCGGUGAUGUAAGACAGAUGUGAAAUCCCCGGGCUCAACCUGGGAACUGCAUUUGUGACUGCAUCGCUGGAGUGCGGCAGAGGGGGAUGGAAUUCCGCGUGUAGCAGUGAAAUGCGUAGAUAUGCGGAGGAACACCGAUGGCGAAGGCAAUCCCCUGGGCCUGCACUGACGCUCAUGCACGAAAGCGUGGGGAGCAAACAGG